rnacentral:rRNA from 2 species
UAGGGAAUCUUCGGCAAUGGACGAAAGUCUGACCGAGCAACGCCGCGUGAGUGAAGAAGGUUUUCGGAUCGUAAAACUCUGUUGUUAGAGAAGAACAAGGACGUUAGUAACUGAACGUCCCCUGACGGUAUCUAACCAGAAAGCCACGGCUAACUACGUGCCAGCAGCCGCGGUAAUACGUAGGUGGCAAGCGUUGUCCGGAUUUAUUGGGCGUAAAGCGAGCGCAGGCGGUUUCUUAAGUCUGAUGUGAAAGCCCCCGGCUCAACCGGGGAGGGUCAUUGGAAACUGGGAGACUUGAGUGCAGAAGAGGAGAGUGGAAUUCCAUGUGUAGCGGUGAAAUGCGUAGAUAUAUGGAGGAACACCAGUGGCGAAGGCGGCUCUCUGGUCUGUAACUGACGCUGAGGCUCGAAAGCGUAGGGAGCAAACAGG